UACGUAGGGUGCGAGCGUUGUCCGGAAUUAUUGGGCGUAAAGGGCUCGUAGGCGGUUUGUCGCGUCGGGAGUGAAAACCUCGGGCUUAACUCGGGGCUUGCUUUCGAUACGGGCAGACUGGAGGUAUGCAGGGGAGAACGGAAUUCCUGGUGUAGCGGUGAAAUGCGCAGAUAUCAGGAGGAACACCGGUGGCGAAGGCGGCAUCCUGGGCCGGUAUUGACGCUGAGGAGCGAAAGCCAGGGGAGCAAACGGG
rnacentral:rRNA from 1 species